GAUGAACGCUGGCGGCGUGCCUAAUACAUGCCAGUCGAGCGAACAGAUAAGGAGCUUGCUCCUUUGACGUUAGCGGCGGACGGGUGAGUAACACGUGGGUAACCUACCUAUAAGACUGGAAUAACUCCGGGAAACCGGGGCUAAUGCCGGAUAACAUUUAGAACCGCAUGGUUCUAAAGUGAAAGAUGGUUUUGCUAUCACUUAUAGAUGGACCCGCGCCGUAUUAGCUAGUUGGUAAGGUAACGGCUUACCAAGGCAACGAUACGUAGCCGACCUGAGAGGGUGAUCGGCCACACUGGAACUGAGACACGGUCCAGACUCCUACGGGAGGCAGCAGUAGGGAAUCUUCCGCAAUGGGCGAAAGCCUGACGGAGCAACGCCGCGUGAGUGAUGAAGGUCUUCGGAUCGUAAAACUCUGUUAUUAGGGAAGGACAAAUGUGUAAGUAACUGUGCACGUCUUGACGGUACCUAAUCAGAAAGCCACGGCUAACUACGUG
rnacentral:rRNA from 1 species